rnacentral:lncRNA from 1 species
AUGUCACCUAUCUUCUUCCUCAGGGUGGCGUGGCCUGAGCUAUGAAAAACCUGCCUCAUGAAUAUGCAAAUGCACUGCUGUCUACCGAGGCACCCACGCCCAGGUCCAGCUGGUACAGUCUGGGGCUGAGGUGAAGAAGCCUGGGGCCUCAGUGAAGGUCUCCUGCAAGGUUUCCGGAUACACCCUCACUGAAUUAUCCAUGCACUGGGUGCGACAGGCUCCUGGAAAAGGGCUUGAGUGGAUGGGAGGUUUUGAUCCUGAAGAUGGUGAAACAAUCUACGCACAGAAGUUCCAGGGCAGAGUCACCAUGACCGAGGACACAUCUACAGACACAGCCUACAUGGAGCUGAGCAGCCUGAGAUCUGAGGACACGGCCGUGUAUUACUGUGCAACAGACACAGUGUGAAAACCCACAUCCUGAGAGCGUCAGAAACCCUGAGGAAUGAGGCAGCUGUGCUGAGGCUGAGGAGAUGACAGGAUUUAUGAAGUUUAAAUCUGUUUAGAAAAUGGGUUGAGUAAUUGAGUAAAACAGCAAUGGAAAGAUGUGUACACUGUCAUUAUGUAGGAAAUAGUAUUUUCAACUGUCACCCUAUAAGUAACACUCACAGAGUGGGAAAGGCAGCCAUCAAUCAAGCUGAUGCAAACAUUCCCAUGGGGGCUUUGUG